rnacentral:tRNA from 1 species
GGAUAUAGCUCAGUGGUAGAGUGUCUGUCUAGCAUGCACAAGGUCCUGGGUUCAAUCCCCAGUACCUCCA